rnacentral:misc_RNA from 1 species
AACGCACAUUGCGCCCCUUGGUAUUCCGAAGGGCAUGCCUGUUCGAGCGUCAUUUCAAACACUCAAGCACCGCUUGGUAUUGGGCGUCGGUCCGGCGAGGACCCGCUCGCAACCCAUUGGCGGCACCGUCCGGUCCCUCAGCGUUCGCAGUACCUCUUCGCUCAGGAGCCCGCGUCGGCGCCCGCCCGGAAACAUUCCACCUUUCAAGUUUGACCUCGGAUCAGGUAGGGAUACCCGCUGAACUUAA